AACGAACGCUGGCGGCAGGCUUAACACAUGCAAGUCGAACGCCCCGCAAGGGGAGUGGCAGACGGGUGAGUAACACGUGGGAACGUGCCCUUCGCUACGGAAUAUUCCCGGGAAACUGGGAGCAAUGCCGUAUACGCCGUAUUGGGAAAGAUUUAUCGGCGAAGGAUCGGCCCGCGUUGGAUUAGCUAGUUGGCGGUGUAAUGGACCACCAAGGCUACGAUCCAUAGCUGGUCUGAGAGGACGACCAGCCACACUGGGACUGAGACACGGCCCAGACUCCUACGGGAGGCAGCAGUGGGGAAUCUUGGACAAUGGGCGCAAGCCUGGUCCAGCCAUGCCGCGUGAGUGAAGAAGGCCUUAGGGUUGUAAAACUCUUUCGCCUGGGAAGAUAAUGACGGUACCAGGUAAAGAAGCCCCGGCUAACUUCGUGCCAGCCGCCGCUGUAACAC
rnacentral:rRNA from 1 species